UUAAAGUAGUAAGGGCGCAGGGUGGAUGCCUUGGCACUAAGAGCCGAUGAAAGACGUGAUAAGCUGCGAAAAGCUUCGGGGAGGAGCACAUAUCCAAUGAUCCGGAGAUAUCUGAAUGGGGAAACCCGGCAGAGGAAACCUCUGUCAGCGUGCAGUGAAUACAUAGCUGUACGUGGGGAACCCGGGGAACUGAAACAUCUAAGUACCCGGAGGAAGAGAAAGAAAAUUUAUCGAUUUCCAAAGUAGCGGCGAGCGAAAUGGAAAGAGCCCAAACCGUGAUGCGUGCAUCGCGGGGUUCGGACUGCGUUGUGGCAGACGUAAGAUAGGAGAACGGACUGGGAAGUCCGGCCGGAGAGAGUGAAAGCCUCGUAUCCGAAAUCCCAAGUCGCCUGGCAGGAUCCAGAGUAGGACGAGACACGAGAAACCUUGUCUGAACGAGCGGGGACCACCCCGUAAGGCUAAAUACUUCUUAGUGACCGAUAGCGCAUAGUACUGUGAAGGAAAGGUGAAAAGUACCCCGGGAGGGGAGUGAAAGAGAACCUGAAACCCUGUGUCUACAAGCUGUGGGACCUCUUUAUAUGAGGGACUGCGUACUUUUUGUAGAACGGUCCGGCGAGUUGUGCGUACUGGCGAGGUUAAGGACUUAAGGUCUGGAGCCGAAGUGAAAGCAAGCGUUAAUAGCGCGUCAAGUCAGUGAGUGCAGACCCGAAACCGGGUGACCUAUCCAUGUCCAGGUUGAAGCUUCCGUAAGAGGAAGUGGAGGACCGAACCCACAUCCGUUGAAAAGGGUGGGGAUGAGGUGUGGAUAGCGGAGAAAUUCCAAUCGAACCCGGAGAUAGCUGGUUCUCCUCGAAAUAGCUUUAGGGCUAGCCUCAUGAGAGUCUUAUGGAGGUAGAGCACUGAAUUGCCUAGGGGGCGUCAAAGCUUACCAAAGCAUAUCAAACUCCGAAUGCCAUCAAGAUGAUUCAUGGGAGUCAGACCAUACGAGAUAAGUUGGAUGGUCAAAAGGGAAAGAGCCCAGACCUACAGCUAAGGUCCCAAAGUACGUGUUAAGUGGAAAAGGAUGUGGGGAUUCUAAGACAACUAGGACGUUGGCUUAGAAGCAGCCAUUCAUUGAAAGAGUGCGUAAUAGCUCACUAGUCGAGAGUCCCUGCGCCGAAAAUGUCCGGGGCUGAAACACGACACCGAAGCUUAGGAAUGUGUAAACAUUGGUAGAGGAGCAUUGUUAGCGGGAUGAAGCCAUACCGUAAGGAGUGGUGGACUGCUAGGAAGAGAGAAUGCCGGAAUGAGUAGCGAGAUGAAGGUGAGAAUCCUUCAGGCCGAAUAUCUAAGGUUUCCAGAGUAAAGCUGAUCUGCUCUGGGUAAGUCGGGACCUAAGGCGAGGUCGAAAGACGUAGUCGAUGGAUAACAGGUUGAAAUUCCUGUACCGCAUAUAAACAGAACUGUGGGGACACAGACAGGGAAUGGAAUCCGGGAAUGGAUAUCCCGGUGCAAGCGAGGUAGGAGUGCUGUUGGCAAAUCCGCAGCACGAUCUGAAGACGUGACGCGUACCGAACAUAAGUAGGGAAGUCCAGGCCCCUGGCUGUCAAGAAAAGCCGCUAUUGUUUUAUAUGUGCCCGUACCGCAAACCGACACAGGUGGAUGAGGAGAGAAUCCUAAGGCCGACGGGAGAAGUAUUGUUAAGGAACUCGGCAAAAUGACUCCGUAACUUCGGGAGAAGGAGUGCCAUGAGAGUGGCCGCAGAGAAAUGGCCCAAGCAACUGUUUAGCAAAAACACAGGUCUAUGCAAAACCGCAAGGUGAAGUAUAUGGGCUGACGCCUGCCCGGUGCUGGAAGGUUAAGGGGAGAGGUUAGCGCAAGCGAAGCUUUGAACUUAAGCCCCAGUAAACGGCGGCCGUAACUAUAACGGUCCUAAGGUAGCGAAAUUCCUUGUCGGGUAAGUUCCGACCCGCACGAAA
rnacentral:rRNA from 1 species